rnacentral:rRNA from 1 species
GAACGGGUGAGUAACACGUGAGUAACCUGCCCUUGACUCUGGAAUAAGCGUUGGAAACGACGUCUAAUACUGGAUACGAGCUUCAGCCGCAUGGCUAGGAGCUGGAAAGAAUUUCGGUCAAGGAUGGACUCGCGGCCUAUCAGGUAGUUGGUGAGGUAAUAGCUCACCAAGCCUACGACGGGUAGCCGGCCUGAGAGGGUGACCGGCCACACUGGAACUGAGACACGGUCCAGACUCCUACGGGAGGCAGCAGUGGGGAAUAUUGCACAAUGGGCGAAAGCCUGAUGCAGCAACGCCGCGUGAGGGACGACGGCCUUCGGGUUGUAAACCUCUUUUAGUAGGGAAGAAGCGAAAGUGACGGUACCUGCAGAAAAAGCACCGGCUAACUACGUGCCAGCAGCCGCGGUAAUACGUAGGGUGCAAGCGUUAUCCGGAAUUAUUGGGCGUAAAGAGCUCGUAGGCGGUUUGUCGCGUCUGCUGUGAAAACUGGAGGCUCAACCUCCAGCCUGCAGUGGGUACGGGCAGACUAGAGUGCGGUAGGGGAGAUUGGAAUUCCUGGUGUAGCGGUGGAAUGCGCAGAUAUCAGGAGGAACACCGAUGGCGAAGGCAGAUCUCUGGGCCGUAACUGACGCUGAGGAGCGAAAGCAUGGGGAGCGAACAGGAUUAGAUACCCUGGUAGUCCAUGCCGUAAACGUUGGGAACUAGAUGUAGGGACCAUUCCACGGUUUCUGUGUCGCAGCUAACGCAUUAAGUUCCCCGCCUGGGGAGUACGGCCGCAAGGCUAAAACUCAAAGGAAUUGACGGGGGCCCGCACAAGCGGCGGAGCAUGCGGAUUAAUUCGAUGCAACGCGAAGAACCUUACCAAGACUUGACAUAUACGAGAACGGGCUAGAAAUAGUUCACUCUUUGGACACUCGUAAACAGGUGGUGCAUGGUUGUCUUCACCUCCUGUCCUGAAAUGUUGGGUUAAG